GAUGAAGAACGUAGCGAAAUGCGAUAAGUAAUGUGAAUUGCAGAAUUCAGUGAAUCAUCGAAUCUUUGAACGCACAUUGCGCCCCUUGGUAUUCCGAGGGGCAUGCCUGUUCGAGCGUCAUUAUAACCCCUCAAGCUCAGCUUGGUGUUGGGGCCUGCUGCACUGGCAGCCCUUAAAAUCAGUGGCGGCGCCAUCUGGCUCUAAGCGUAGUAAUUCUUCUCGCUAUGGAGUCCUGGUGGAUGCUUGCCAUCAACCCCCAAGUUUUCUAUGGUUGACCUCGGAUCAGGUAGGGAUACCCGCUGAACUUAAGCAUAUCAAUAAGCGGAGGA
rnacentral:misc_RNA from 1 species